AGUGAACGCUGGCGGUAGGCCUAACACAUGCAAGUCGAACGGCAGCACAGUAAGAGCUUGCUCUUACGGGUGGCGAGUGGCGGACGGGUGAGGAAUACAUCGGAAUCUACUUUUUCGUGGGGGAUAACGUAGGGAAACUUACGCUAAUACCGCAUACGACCUACGGGUGAAAGCAGGGGAUCUUCGGACCUUGCGCGAUUGAAUGAGCCGAUGUCGGAUUAGCUAGUUGGCGGGGUAAAGGCCCACCAAGGGGACGAUCCGUAGCUGGUCUGAGAGGAUGAUCAGCCACACUGGAACUGGGACACGGUCCAGACUCCUACGGGAGGCAGCAGUGGGGAAUAUUGGACAAUGGGGGCAAGCCUGAUCCAGCCAUACCGCGUGGGUGAAGAAGGCCUUCGGGUUGUAAAGCCCUUUUGUUGGGAAAGAAAAGCAGCAGGUUAAUACCCCGCUGUUCUGACGGUACCCAAAGAAUAAGCACCGGCUAACUUCGUG
rnacentral:rRNA from 1 species